rnacentral:rRNA from 1 species
CCUACGGGUGGCUGCAGUGGGGAAUAUUGGGCAAUGGGCGCAAGCCUGACCCAGCAACGCCGCGUGAAGGAAGAAGGCUUUCGGGUUGUAAACUUCUUUUCUCAGGGAUGAAGAACGUGACGGUACCUGAGUAAUAAGCCACGGCUAACUACGUGCCAGCAGCCGCGGUAAUACGUAGGUGGCAAGCGUUAUCCGGAAUGACUGGGUGUAAAGGGCGUGUAGGUGGGUUAGUAAGUCAGCGGUGUAAACUCAGGGCUCAACCCUGAGCCUACAUUGGAAACUGUGUUACUUGAGUGCAGGAGAGGCAAGUGGAAUUCCGAGUGUAGCGGUGAAAUGCGUAGAUAUACGGAGGAACACCAGUGGCGAAGGCGGAUUGCUGGACAGUAACUGACGCUGAGGCGCGAAAGCGUGGGGAGCAAACAGGAUUAGAUACCCUAGUAGUC